rnacentral:tRNA from 1 species
GGGAAUGUGGCUUAGUGGUAGAGCGCUUGUCUUGCAUGCAUGAGGCCCUGGGUUCGAUUCCUCAGCACCA